rnacentral:rRNA from 1 species
UACGUAGGGUGCGAGCGUUGUCCGGAAUUAUUGGGCGUAAAGAGCUCGUAGGCGGUUUGUCGCGUCGACUGUGAAAACCUACAGCUUAACUGUGGGCUUGCAGUCGAUACGGGCAGACUUGAGUUCGGUAGGGGAGACUGGAAUUCCUAGUGUAGCGGUGAAAUGCGCAGAUAUCAGGAGGAACACCGGUGGCGAAGGCGGGUCUCUGGGCCGAUACUGACGCUGAGGAGCGAAAGCGUGGGGAGCGAACAGG